rnacentral:rRNA from 1 species
GAUGAACGCUGGCGGCGUGCCUAAUACAUGCAAGUCGAGCGAACAGACGAGGAGCUUGCUCCUCUGACGUUAGCGGCGGACGGGUGAGUAACACGUGGAUAACCUACCUAUAAGACUGGGAUAACUUCGGGAAACCGGAGCUAAUACCGGAUAAUAUAUUGAACCGCAUGGUUCAAUAGUGAAAGACGGUUUUGCUGUCACUUAUAGAUGGAUCCGCGCCGCAUUAGUUAGUUGGUAAGGUAACGGCUUACCAAGGCAACGAUGCGUAGCCGACCUGAGAGGGUGAUCGGCCACACUGGAACUGAGACACGGUCCAGACUCCUACGGGAGGCAGCAGUAGGGAAUCUUCCGCAAUGGGCGAAAGCUGGACGGAGCAACGCCGCGGGAGUGAUGAAGGUCUUCGGAUCGUAAAACUCUGUUAUUAGGGAAGAACAAAUGUGUAAGUAACUAUGCACGUCUUGACGGUACCUAAUCAGAAAGCCACGGCUAACUACGUG